rnacentral:rRNA from 1 species
AGUGAACGCUGGCGGCAGGCCUAACACAUGCAAGUCGAACGGCAGCACAGUAAGAGCUUGCUCUUACGGGUGGCGAGUGGCGGACGGGUGAGGAAUACAUCGGAAUCUACUUUUUCGUGGGGGAUAACGUAGGGAAACUUACGCUAAUACCGCAUACGACCUACGGGUGAAAGCAGGGGAUCUUCGGACCUUGCGCGAUUGAAUGAGCCGAAGUCGGAUUAGCUAGUUGGCGGGGUAAAGGCCCACCAAGGCGACGAUCCGUAGCUGGUCUGAGAGGAUGAUCAGCCACACUGGAACUGAGACACGGUCCAGACUCCUACGGGAGGCAGCAGUGGGGAAUAUUGGACAAUGGGCGCAAGCCUGAUCCAGCCAUACCGCGUGGGUGAAGAAGGCCUUCGGGUUGUAAAGCCCUUUUGUUGGGAAAGAAAAGCAGCAGGUUAAUACCCCGCUGUUCUGACGGUACCCAAAGAAUAAGCACCGGCUAACUUCGUG